GAGUAAAAGUCGUAACAAGGUUUCCGUAGGUGAACCUGCGGAAGGAUCAUUAGUGAACGCCCUCACGGGCUUAUAACUAUUCCAAACCUCUGUGAACCGUGCCCUUCGGGGCUAUUUUACAAACAUGGUGUAAUGAACGUCUUAUAUCAUAACAAAACAGAACUUUCAACAACGGAUCUCUUGGCUCUC
rnacentral:misc_RNA from 1 species